AUUGAACGCUGGCGGUAGGCCUACCACAUGCAAGUCGAACGAGUGGCGGACGGGUGAGUAAUGUCUGGGAAACUGCCUGAUGGAGGGGGCUAACUACUGGAAACGGUAGCUAAUACCGCAUACCCUCCGAUGUGCCCAGAUGGGAUUAGCUUGUGGGGUGGGUAACGGGUCACCACGGCGCCGAUCCCUAGCUGGUCUGAGAGUAUGACCAGCCACACUGGAACUGAGACACGGUCCAGACGCCUACGGGAGGCAGCAGUGGGGAAUAUUGCACGAUGGGCGCAAGCCUGAGCCAGCCAUGCCGCGUGUGUGAAGAAGGUCUUCGGAUUGUAAAGCACUUUAAGUUGGGAGGCGUUACCAACAGAAUAAGCACCGGCUAACUUCGUGCCAGCAGCCGCGGUAAUUC
rnacentral:rRNA from 1 species